rnacentral:rRNA from 1 species
UACGGAGGGAGCAAGCGUUACUCGGAAUUAUUGGGCGUAAAGGGCGCGUAGGCGCUCUGAAAAGUCCUGUGUGAAAGCCCACAUGUUAACUGUGGAAGUGCACAGGAAACUGUUGGAUUUGAGUUCAGGAGAGGAAGGCAGAAUUCCCGGUGUAGCGGUGAAAUGCGUAGAGAUCGGGAGGAAUACCAGUGGCGAAGGCGGCCUUCUGGACUGACACUGACGCUGAGGCGCGAAAGCCAGGGGAGCAAACGGG